UACGUAGGGGGCAAGCGUUGUCCGGAUUUAUUGGGCGUAAAGAGCUCGUAGGCGGCUCGGUAAGUCGGGUGUGAAAACUCUAGGCUCAACCUAGAGACGCCACCUGAUACUGCUGUGGCUAGAGUCCGGUAGGGGAGCAUGGAAUUCCUGGUGUAGCGGUGAAAUGCGCAGAUAUCAGGAGGAACACCAGUGGCGGAAGGCGGUGCUCUGGGCCGGUACUGACGCUGGAGGAGCGAAAGCGUGGGGAGCAAACAGG
rnacentral:rRNA from 1 species